rnacentral:rRNA from 1 species
UAGGGAAUCUUCCGCAAUGGGCGAAAGCCUGACGGAGCAACGCCGCGUGAGUGAAGAAGGUCUUCGGAUCGUAAAACUCUGUUAUUAGGGAAGAACAAAUGUGUAAGUAACUAUGCACGUCUUGACGGUACCUAAUCAGAAAGCCACGGCUAACUACGUGCCAGCAGCCGCGGUAAUACGUAGGUGGCAAGCGUUAUCCGGAAUUAUUGGGCGUAAAGCGCGCGUAGGCGGUUUUUUAAGUCUGAUGUGAAAGCCCACGGCUCAACCGUGGAGGGUGAUUGGAAACUGGAAAGCUUGAGUGCAGAAGAGGAAAGUGGAAUUCCAUGUGUAGCGGUGAAAUGCGCAGAGAUAUGGGGGAACACCAGUGGCGAAGGCGACUUUCUGGUCUGUAACUGACGCUGAUGUGCGAAAGCGUGGGGAUCAAACAGG